rnacentral:rRNA from 1 species
UACGUAGGGCGCAAGCGUUAUCCGGCAUUAUUGGGCGUAAAGAGCUCGUAGGCGGUUUGUCGCGUCUGCCGUGAAAGUCCGGGGCUCAACUCCGGAUCUGCGGUGGGUACGGGCAGACUAGAGUGUGGUAGGGGAGACUGGAAUUCCUGGUGUAGCGGUGGAAUGCGCAGAUAUCAGGAGGAACACCAAUGGCGAAGGCAGGUCUCUGGGCCACAACUGACGCUGAGGAACGAAAGCGUGGGGAGCGAACAGG